rnacentral:rRNA from 1 species
GAUGAACGCUGACGGCGUGCCUAAUACAUGCAAGUCGAGCGAACAGACGAGGAGCUUGCUCCUCUGACGUUAGCGGCGGACGGGUGAGUAACACGUGGAUAACCUACCUAUAAGACUGGGAUAACUUCGGGAAACCGGAGCUAAUACCGGAUAAUAUAUUGAACCGCAUGGUUCAAUAGUGAAAGACGGUUUUGCUGUCACUUAUAGAUGGAUCCGCGCCGCAUUAGCUAGUUGGUAAGGUAACGGCUUACCAAGGCAACGAUGCGUAGCCGACCUGAGAGGGUGAUCGGCCACACUGGAACUGAGCCACGGUCCAGACUCCUACGGGAGGCAGCAGUAGGGAAUCUUCCGCAAUGGGCGAAAGCCUGACGGAGCAACGCCGCGUGAGUGAUGAAGGUCUUCGGAUCGUAAAACUCUGUUAUUAGGGAAGAACAAAUGUGUAAGUAACUAUGCACGUCUUGACGGUACCUAAUCAGAAAGCCACGGCUAACUACGUG